UUCCUUUUGAAUAUAUAAAAGGUAUUACCUGCCCCAUGCGUGAGUAAAUGGCCGCAGUAUAUCUAACUGUGCUAAGGUAGCAUAAUUACUUGUCAUUUAAUUAGUGUCUUGUUUGAAUGGUCUAAUGAGAUUAAAGAUUUCUUUUUUUUAGGUGAAUUUUUAAAACUAGUAAAAAUACUAGUUUUAAUUAAAAAGACGAGAAGACCCCGCAGAGCUUUUUAAACAUAAAAAUUUUUAUUAGAUGGGAUAUCAAGAUUUUAAUUAAAUCUUUUUUGGACUUUUUUGAAAAAAGGGGAAGUUACCUCGGGGAUAACAGAGUAAUUUUUUUUGAGAGUUCUUAUUAAGAAAAAAGUUUGCUACCUCGAUGUUGAAUCAAAAUUACUAUUUGGUUGUAGAAGCUAAGAAAGUGUGUCUGUUCGACACUUAAAAUUUUACGU
rnacentral:rRNA from 1 species